rnacentral:rRNA from 1 species
UGCGUAGGCGGCACCGUGUGUCGGAUGUGAAAUCUUACGGCUCAACCGUGAAAUUGCAUUCGAAACUGCGGAGCUUGAGUACAGGAUGGGAGAGCGGAAUUCUUGGUGUAGCGGCGAAAUGCGUUGAUAUCAAGAAGAACACCGGCGGCGAAGGCGGCUCUCUGGAAUGUUACUGACGCUGAGGCACGAAAGCUGGGGGAGCGAACA